rnacentral:rRNA from 1 species
CCUACGGGCGGCAGCAGUGGGGAAUAUUGCACAAUGGGGGAAACCCUGAUCCAGCGACGCCGCGUGAGUGAAGAAGUUUUUCGGUAUGUAAAGCUCUAUCAGCAGGGGAGAAAAGGACGGUACCUGAUUAAGAAGCCCCGGCUAUCUACGUGCCAGCAGACGCGGUAAUACGUAGGGGGCAAGUGUUAUCCGGAUUUACUGGGUGUAAAGGGAGUGUAGACGGCAGCGCAAGUCUGAAGUGAAAUGCCGGGGGUUAACCCCGGAACUGCGGUUGAAACUGUGCAGCUAGAGUGCAGGAGAGGUAAGCGGAAUGCCUAGUGUAGCGGUGAAAUGCGUAGAUAUUAGGAGGAACACCAGUGGCGAAGGCGGCUUACUGGACUGUAACUGACGUUGAGGCUCGAAAGCGUGGGGAGCAAACAGGAUUAGAUACCCGUGUAGUC